GCUGUAGAGUACAUUUCGAACAGCCAUCUCCAGGAUAUACUCUGAAGACAGUGAUGUGCAAGUUCAAGGUUUGCCUGUUAAAUUCUCACAUUAUCAUGCUGCCUAAUAGUACAUUUCAGCUGAAACAAAACAAAUUAUCUGAUGAAAGCUUCAACCACGAGAAUCUAAGAAAGGAUGUCAAGUCCAAAGAAAAGGCCAUAUAACAAAUGGUUGCUGAAUUCAUGAAGACUAGCUGGGAUGAUACAGUACUUUUCUACUCAUAUGAACCAUAUCUAAACAUCAUUUGAGGAUCCUUUUCUCAGAAAAAAAAAUUCGCAUAUUCAAAGACUCUAUAGUUCAUGUUUAUUUGUACGUUGUUUAACAUUCUUCUUGAGAAACUUUCACUCAUAUGGGAAUGCCAACAUUUGUCGGUGGAGAGCUGCAAAUUUUGUCCUUUACUUGGCACACAUGGCUAAUUGAACAAUGAGGGAUCUUUUUGGUACCUACUGCAACACAGCACCUCUGUAUAUACAGUCUCAUCUAUGUCUGACUGUGGGAUUUUGAACCAGCAAUUUAUGGAUCAACUCCUUACUCAUUAUACUCUCGAGCAGAUGCUC